rnacentral:rRNA from 1 species
GACCCACCACAGAAGGUAAUAGUCCUGUAUGUUAAACGAGAAGACUUCAGAUAUGAUCCAGAGUACCACGGGACACGUGAAACCCUGUGGGAAGCAGGAGGGACCACCCUCCAAGGCUAAAUACUACCUAGUGACCGAUAGCGUAUAGUACCGUGAGGGAAAGGUGAAAAGAACCCCGGGAGGGGAGUGAAAUAGAACCUGAAACCCUGCACUUACAAGCUGUGGAAGCACAUUUCUUGUGUGACCGCGUACUUUUUGUAGAACGGGCCAACGAGUUACGUUAAGUAGCAAGGUUAAGCACUUAAGGUGUGGAGCCGUAGCGAAAGCGAGUUUUAACUGAGCGUUCAGUUACUUGACGUAGACCCGAAACCGGGCGACCUACCCAUGAGCAGGAUGAAGCGAAAGUAAAAUUUCGUGGAGGUCCGAACCCACGAGCGUUGAAAAGCUCGGGGAUGACUUGUGGGUAGCGGUGAAAUUCCAAUCGAGCCCGGAGAUAGCUGGUUCUCCCCGAAAUAGCUUUAGGGCUAGCCUCAAGGUGAGAGAUACGGAGGUAGAGCACUGAAUGUCCUAGGGGGUAUUGCACCUACCGAAGACUAUCAAACUCCGAAUGCCGUCAUCUUAUACUUGGGAGUCAGACUGUGGGUGAUAAGAUUCAUAGUCGAAAGGGCAACAGCCCAGAUCGUCAGCUAAGGUCCCUAAAUGUAAGUUAAGUGGUAAAGGAUGUGGGAUUGCACAGACAACCAGGAUGUUGGCUUAGAAGCAGCCACUCAUUCAAAGAGUGCGUAAUAGCUCACUGGUCGAGUGAUCCUGCGCCGAAGAUUUCCGGGGCUAAAACUUACUACCGAAGCUACGGCAUCAGUAAUGAUGGGUAGGGGAGCUUCCCAUACGGGUUGAAGCAUGACCGUAAGGACAUGUGGACAGUAUGGGAGUGAGAAUGUUGGCAUGAGUAGCGAGAUGUGGGUGAGAAUCCCACAGGCCGUAAACCCAAGGUUUCCAGGGGAAGGUUCGUCCGCCCUGGGUUAGUCGGGACCUAAGCUGAGGCCGAAAGGCGUAGGUGAUGGACAACAGGUUGAUAUUCCUGUACUACCGAUAACCGUUUGAGAGAAGGGAUGACACAGUAGGAUAAGCUAAGCACACUGUUGGUUAUGUGUGCCCAAGCAUUGAGGCAGUCAAAGUAGGCAAAUCCGCUUUGAUAAUGCUGGGAUGUGAUGGGGAGCGAAAUUUAGUAGCGAAGUAGCUGAUUUCACACUGUCAAGAAAAGUCUCUAUCGAGGUUAAAGGUACCCGUACCGCAAACCGACACAGGUGGGUGAGGAGAGUAUCCUAAGGCCAGCGAGAGAACUGUUGUUAAGGAACUCGGCAAAAUGACCCCGUAACUUAGGGAUAAGGGGUGCCACCAUCAGGUGGCCGCAGAGAAUAGGCCCAAGCGACUGUUUACCAAAAACAUAGGUUUCUGCUAAGUCGCAAGACGAUGUAUAGGAGCUGACGCCUGCCCGGUGCUGGAAGGUUAAGGGGAUCUGUUAGAGCAAUCGAAGCAGUGAACUUAAGCCCCAGUAAACGGCGGCCGUAACUAUAACGGUCCUAAGGUAGCGAAAUUCCUUGUCGGGUAAGUUCCGACCCGCACGAAAGGCGUAACGAUUUGGGCACUGUCUCAACAACAGACUCGGUGAAAUUGUAAUUCCGGUGAAGAUGCCGGAUACCUGCGACAGGACGGAAAGACCCCAUGGAGCUUUACUGUAGCUUGACAUUGGGUCUUGGUACUACAUGUACAGGAUAGGUGGGAGGCUUUGAAACCAGGACGCCAGUUUUGGCGGAGCCAUCCUUGGGAUACCACCCUUGUAGUACUGGGACUCUAACCAUAGGCCAUGAAUCUGGUCUUGGGACACUGUCAGGUGGGCAGUUUGACUGGGGCGGUCGCCUCCCAAAAGGUAACGGAGGCGCUCAAAGGUUCUCUCAGUACGGUCGGAAAUCGUACGUAGAGUGUAAAGGCAAAAGAGAGCUUGAUUGCAAGACAUACAGGUCGAGCAAGGAUGAAAAUCGGACUUAGUGAUCCGGUGGUUCUGCGUGGAAGGGCCAUCGCUCAACGGAUAAAAGCUACCCUGGGGAUAACAGGCUUAUCUCCCCCAAGAGUCCACAUCGACGGGGAGGUUUGGCACCUCGAUGUCGGCUCAUCACAUCCUGGGGCUGUAGUAGGUCCCAAGGGUUGGGCUGUUCGCCCAUUAAAGUGGUACGCGAGCUGGGUUCAGAACGUCGUGAGACAGUUCGGUCCCUAUCCGUCGCAGGCGUAGGAAAUUUGAGAAGACCUGUCCUUAGUACGAGAGGACCGGGAUGGACGUACCUCUGGUGUACCAGUUGUUCUGCCAAGGGCAUGGCUGGGUAGCUAUGUACGGAAUGGAUAAGCGCUGAAAGCAUCUAAGCGCGAAGCCAACU